CUCGUAGCUUGCUAUGAGAACAGUUAGUGGCAGACGGGUGAGUAAUGCAUAGGAAUCUACCUAGUAGUAUAGGAUAGCCACUAGAAGUGGUGGGUAAUACUGUAUAAUCCCCGCGGGGGAAAGAUUUAUCGCUACAUGAUGAGCCUAUGUUAGAUUAGCUAGUUGGUGGGGUAAUGGCCUACCAAGGCAGUGAUCUAUAGCUGGUCUGAGAGGAUGAUCAGCCACACUGGAACUGAGACACGGUCCAGACUCCUACGGGAGGCAGCAGUGGGGAAUAUUGGACAAUGGGCGCAAGCCUGAUCCAGCUAUGCCGCGUGAGUGGGGAAGGCCUUAGGGUUGUAAAACUCUUUCAGUGGGGAAGAUAAUGACGGUACCCACAGAAGAAGUCCCGGCAAACUCCGUGCCAGCAGCCGCGGUAAUACGGAGGGGGCAAGCGUUGUUCGGAAUUAUUGGGCGUAAAGGGCAUGUAGGUGGUUUGGUUAGUUAAAGGUGAAAUGCCAGGGCUUAACCCUGGAGCUGCUUUUAAUACUGCCAGACUGGAGUCCGGGAGA
rnacentral:rRNA from 1 species